CAGUCGCCACGGUAAUACGAAGGGUGCAAGCGUUACUCGGAAUUACUGGGCAUAAAGCGUGCGUAGGUGGUUGUGUAAGACAGGUGUGAAAUCCCCGGGCUUAACCUGGGAACUGCAUCUGUGACUGCAUCGCUGGAGUGCGGCAGAGGGGUAUGGAAUUCCGCGUGUAGCAGUGAAACGCGUAGAUAUGCGGAGGAACACCGAUGGCGAAGGCAAUCCCCUGGGCCUGCACUGACGCUCAUGCACGAAAGCGUGGGGAGCAAACAGGAUUAGAUACCCGGGUAGUCCCUGUCUCUUAUAC
rnacentral:rRNA from 1 species